rnacentral:rRNA from 1 species
UGGGGAAUAUUGCACAAUGGGCGCAAGCCUGAUGCAGCCAUGCCGCGUGUGUGAAGAAGGCCUUCGGGUUGUAAAGCACUUUCAGCGGGGAGGAAGGCGAUAAGGUUAAUAACCUUGUCGAUUGACGUUACCCGCAGAAGAAGCACCGGCUAACUCCGUGCCAGCAGCCACGGUAAUACGGAGGGUGCAAGCGUUAAUCGGAAUUACUGGGCGUAAAGCGCACGCAGGCGGUCUGUCAAGUCGGAUGUGAAAUCCCCGGGCUCAACCUGGGAACUGCAUUCGAAACUGGCAGGCUAGAGUCUUGUAGAGGGGGGUAGAAUUCCAGGUGUAGCGGUGAAAUGCGUAGAGAUCUGGAGGAAUACCGGUGGCGAAGGCGGCCCCCUGGACAAAGACUGACGCUCAGGUGCGAAAGCGUGGGGAGCAAACAGG